GCCGUAACACAGUGGCAGAGUGCCUGCCUUGCAUGUAGAAGGUCUCAGGUUCACUCCCUGGCUUCUCCA